rnacentral:lncRNA from 1 species
CAGUGGUGUGAGUGAUCCUUUGCCUGUGGUGUCAUUGGCUAUUCGCAGUGAGACUACUAAAUUUGACAGUACAUUUCUUUGGUUCCUAGCUAUUUGGAUCCUUGCUGUGUAUAUUAGCUUCAAUAGGUUCAGGUUCGCUGUUUGGAGUAGGAUGCAUUUAGAUGGGAUCUAUCGACCUUGGUAGAAAAAGAGAAGUCCUAUACGAUUUGUGAGACUGAGUUCAAAAAGUCUUUG